GACACUGUGUGUUGUUGGGUAGGGGAGCGUUCUGUAAGCCUGUGAAGGUGUGUCGUGAGGCAUGCUGGAGGUAUCAGAAGUGCGAAUGCUGACAUAAGUAACGAUAAAGCGGGUGAAAAGCCCGCUCGCCGGAAGACCAAGGGUUCCUGUCCAACGUUAAUCGGGGCAGGGUGAGUCGACCCCUAAGGCGAGGCCGAAAGGCGUAGUCGAUGGGAAACGGGUUAAUAUUCCCGUACUUGGUGUUACUGCGAAGGGGGGACGGAGAAGGCUAUGUUGGCCGGGCGACGGUUGUCCCGGUUUAAGCGUGUAGGUGUGUGUUCCAGGUAAAUCCGGUUCACUUUAACACUGAGGCGUGACGACGAGGCACUACGGUGCUGAAGCAACAAAUGCCCUGCUUCCAGGAAAAGCCUCUAAGCAUCAGGUAACAUCAAAUCGUACCCCAAACCGACACAGGUGGUCAGGUAGAGAAUACCAAGGCGCUUGAGAGAACUCGGGUGAAGGAACUAGGCAAAAUGGUGCCGUAACUUCGGGAGAAGGCACGCUGACACGUAGGUGAAGUGAUUUACUCAUGGAGCUGAAGUCAGUCGAAGAUACCAGCUGGCUGCAACUGUUUAUUAAAAACACAGCACUGUGCAAACACGAAAGUGGACGUAUACGGUGUGACGCCUGCCCGGUGCCGGAAGGUUAAUUGAUGGGGUCAGCGCAAGCGAAGCUCCUGAUCGAAGCCCCGGUAAACGGCGGCCGUAACUAUAACGGUCCUAAGGUAGCGAAAUUCCUUGUCGGGUAAGUUCCGACCUGCACGAAUGGCGUAAUGAUGGCCAGGCUGUCUCCACCCGAGACUCAGUGAAAUUGAACUCGCUGUGAAGAUGCAGUGUACCCGCGGCAAGACGGAAAGACCCCGUGAACCUUUACUAUAGCUUGACACUGAACAUUGAGCCUUGAUGUGUAGGAUAGGUGGGAGGCUUUGAAGUGUGGACGCCAGUCUGCAUGGAGCCGACCUUGAAAUACCACCCUUUAAUGUUUGAUGUUCUAACGUGGACCCGUGAUCCGGGUUGCGGACAGUGUCUGGUGGGUAGUUUGACUGGGGCGGUCUCCUCCUAAAGAGUAACGGAGGAGCACGAAGGUUGGCUAAUCCUGGUCGGACAUCAGGAGGUUAGUGCAAUGGCAUAAGCCAGCUUGACUGCGAGCGUGACGGCGCGAGCAGGUGCGAAAGCAGGUCAUAGUGAUCCGGUGGUUCUGAAUGGAAGGGCCAUCGCUCAACGGAUAAAAGGUACUCCGGGGAUAACAGGCUGAUACCGCCCAAGAGUUCAUAUCGACGGCGGUGUUUGGCACCUCGAUGUCGGCUCAUCACAUCCUGGGGCUGAAGUAGGUCCCAAGGGUAUGGCUGUUCGCCAUUUAAAGUGGUACGCGAGCUGGGUUUAGAACGUCGUGAGACAGUUCGGUCCCUAUCUGCCGUGGGCGCUGGAGAACUGAGGGGGGCUGCUCCUAGUACGAGAGGACCGGAGUGGACGCAUCACUGGUGUUCGGGUUGUCAUGCCAAUGGCACUGCCCGGUAGCUAAAUGCGGAAGAGAUAAGUGCUGAAAGCAUCUAAGCACGAAACUUGCCCCGAGAUGAGUUCUCCCUGAGACUUAGAGUCUCCUGAAGGAACGUUGAAGACGACGACGUUGAUAGGCCGGGUGUGUAAGCGCAGCGAUGCGUUGAGCUAACCGGUACUAAUGAACCGUGAGGCUUAACCUUACAAC
rnacentral:rRNA from 1 species